rnacentral:tRNA from 2 species
GGGGCGGUAGCCAAGUGGCUAAGGCAACGGAUUGCAAAUCCGUCACGCGAGGGUUCGACUCCCUCUCGCCCCUC